UAUCGUUGCGUUUUGUGAUUUUGUAAAUAUUCUUUUCGAUAGAGGGGGUGAUUUAUCCUCACUAGAAAACUUGAACAAUUCCAACAAGAUAAAUCGAUACAGUGCUUCAUAUUAUGAAGCUUUAAUGUGUAAAUGAUUACAGGUUAUUAGUCGAAAGUAGUCACAAUCGUAAAUGGCUACCGGUUAAUAAAAUCAAUUGACCUGCAUCAACAAUCAUUUUGAAUUCAAGCAGCAACGAUACAAUUCAAGCAUCAACGGCGUACCUUUCUAUUUUGUGCUAUUAGCAUUUUUUUUUCUUUUUACAAGGACGAGAUUUAUCCUCACUAGAAAACCUGACAAAUUCUAACAAGAUUAGAAAGAUUACAUGUCUGGCACAUCCAUAAAAUUGGAUUUUUAACUUCGCAGACAAAUUAGCGGACCUUUGAAAAUUUUUCUUUGAAUUUAAUCAAGUCAAGCAUCAACUAUCGGCGUACCAUUGGUAUUUUGUUCUUUAUACAAGUAUGUUUUCAUUAGUGUCAUAUAAUUAUGGCGAGUUUUGUGUCGUAGACACAAAAAAAACCAAACCAUUUGACGGGGACGGAUAUAUUUUUAAAUACAAAGGCGGAUCCUAUCUGGGAACGAUAAUAGCAAAAAGCGACAACAAGGAAGAACUUUCUAAUUUAAAGAAUAUAAAAGAAGACGAAGCCAAAGGCAAGAAACACAGCCAAAACAAAAGAAUACUUAUUCAUCACAAGCGAUGGAAACUGUAAGG